GCCUUAUUAGCUCAGUGGCAGAGCAACACAUUGGUAAUGUGUAGGUCAAGGGUUCGAUUCCCUUAUGAGGCUCCA
rnacentral:tRNA from 1 species